CUCGGCGGCGGAUAGUCCUGCCGUUUCUGGGAAAAUUGCUGGAUCGGCGUGCGGGCCAUCUCUGACAUCGGCCCCGCCCUAGUCUUCAUGGUUCCGCGUCGUCGCCGCAAAACACGCUCGGUGGCUGAUGGUCUUCAUCAGCGGACCUGGAUUGGGGACAUACAGGGCGCCCUCACUCCCGUGGCUAUGGUUGAGUACGUUGAGCUAUGGCGUCGGCUUGGGCAGGUCACGCUCUCUGCGUUGGACAUCGUCUGGCGUUUCCACCGCUAG
rnacentral:rRNA from 1 species